ACUUUUUCUUACACAUAAGUAAAAAAGAACAGAAAAUAAAAAUGACCUCAGAGCUCUGAUAAAAUAACCCCAAAAUAAUAAAUCCAAGUCCAUCUACCCGGGUAGUAUGUUUUUUUUUUUAAUGUAGUGUGGUGAGA